rnacentral:rRNA from 1 species
GACAGAGGGUGCAAACGUUGUUCGGAAUUACUGGGCGUAAAGCGCGUGUAGGCUGCUUCGCAAGUCGGGUGUGAAAGCCCUGGGCUCAACCUAGGAAGUGCACUCGAAACUGCGGAGCUUGAGUCUCGGAGAGGAUCGCGGAAUUCUCGGUGUAGAGGUGAAAUUCGUAGAUAUCGAGAGGGACACCGGUGGCGAAGGCGGCGAUCUGGACGAUGACUGACGCUGAGACGCGAAAGCGUGGGGAGCAAACAGG